GCCACUCUCGACUACUGGCUAGGUCGGUGCUCUUUCAAGGCACAGGAGCGGGAUCGAUACCCGCGAGUGGUACCA
rnacentral:tRNA from 1 species